rnacentral:rRNA from 1 species
CUACGGGGCGCUCCAGUGGGGAAUAUUGCACAAUGGGCGCAAGCCUGAUGCAGCCAUGCCGCGUGUAUGAAGAAGGCCUUCGGGUUGUAAAGUACUUUCAGCGGGGAGGAAGGGAGUAAAGUUAAUACCUUUGCUCAUUGACGUUACCCGCAGAAGAAGCACCGGCUAACUCCGUGCCAGCAGCCGCGGUAAUACGGAGGGUGCAAGCGUUAAUCGGAAUUGCUGGGCGGAAAGCGCACGCAGGCGGUUUGUUAAGUCAGAUGUGAAAUCCCCGGGCUCAACCUGGGAACUGCAUCUGAUACUGGCAAGCUUGAGUCUCGUAGAGGGGGGUAGAAUUCCAGGUGUAGCGGUGAAAUGCGUAGAGAUCUGGAGGAAUACCGGUGGCGAAGGCGGCCCCCUGGACGAAGACUGACGCUCAGGUGCGAAAGCGUGGGGAGCAAACAGGAUUAGAUACCCGAGUAGUC